CGCCGCCGUCGCCAGACCCCGAGCCCGGUUCCUUCGCCCCGCCCACCGCGCCGGCACCACCAAUCAAGUCUCAGCACUGACGAGUAAAAAGCUGACCGCAGAACGCACCGUACGCAAGCCGCCAGGAAACGACUUUCUUCUCUACAUGGCCCACGCCGAUUGGCCGGGGCAGGCGCUGACAGGCUGUCACGCCCUCUCGUUGGCCAAUAGGAUCGCAGUAGGAAAUAAUGGUGGAACCAUGCCCGGCCGCGCGAGAGCGCCCUGCCCAAGCGACAUCUCUGAUUGGUCACGCGCCCGUUCCUACAAGGCCCACAAUGCCUCGCAGAGGUCACUCCUGACGCGCUGCCGUCACUACGGGUCGCGAGGCGUCACGGCGCGGUAGGACUACAUUACCCACAGUCCCCCGCGCCGAACUGCGCAAGGAGCCGCGGGGCAGCCCUACCUGAGGAAGGGGCGGGAGGGCCAAGCCAUUUGUGUCGGGGGAGUGAUGCGCGCAGGCCGGGCGCAUGCUGCCCCUCAGCUAGUCUGGCGCUCGGCAUCCAUCGCUGUGUGCAAAAGCAAGCCGUACCAACCUCGGAUCACUGCUAUUUUAUUACACGAGGUUUCAGCAGGACGUUCCGUGUGCUUAAGUGACGCCCGAUCUCAGUUCCGUUACGUUCACAGGUCACCCCACAAAAGCCGCUGCGCUUAACAACCCUCUCAGAAGCAAAUUCUUCCCGCUACAGUGGGCGCCCCGCCCAGCAGCGCUCCUCCCGGCCAGGCAGAGGCACGCGGCGCCACGUGCGGCAGCGAAGGUGCGCAUGCGCACAAGGCGGGGCUGACGAGAGGGGGGGCGGGAAUAAAGGCACGUGCUGCGGGGCGGUUUUCAUUAGUUUUUGUAAAGGGGGAAGCGUGCGCGCGUGGUUUGUUUGGUGCUGUUGCAGAGGGGCGGUUGUGGUCACGAGCGAGUGGUGGUGCGUGCCUGUAGGAGGUCUUGGUGCAGGCGAAGCGCUGUGUCUGUGCCUUCUGAGGUCCUGCCAGCGUCUGCCUUUGUGCCUUUCCUACAUGGGGCUGCACGGGCCUUCCCUUCCAAGAGAGAAUAAAUCUGUCUUUUUCACAACUGGGUCAUUUGGAGCCAAACAGCGUUGUUCAAGAAUUCAAUUAAAUUAUUAAUUUAGAGUAAUCAGGUAAUUAUAAAUAUAAGUUAUUAAACAGUGCUGGGGAAACUUACUUUGCCAUGUUCCUUUCAUUUGAAGUGGGGUACUCUGCAGUAUUUGUGAAGACAUUUUGAUUCUGGCCUUUUUUCACUAUUCCUGAGGCUUAGCAGAGAGAUUCUAGUUGUUAAUUCUGCUUUGAAGCACAGACAGGUAGGCUGCAAUGUCAGAUUUCAUUUUACCCUCUGAGUAUGUCACUGAACAACUCAGCAUCCCUGAAUUAUUCACAACCCGGAGUACCAGCAUGUGUCAAAAUCAGUAAUCAUCAGGAAAGCAAGAAAGAAAUCUGGGCUGCUGUUGGCAGUUUUAUACUGACAAGAGAGUCUGAGUUUGAAAAAUAAGACAUUCUUGCUGCUUAAUGAUCAGAACAAUUCAACCAAGACUUGAGACAGUGACUUGGCCAUCUAGGCAUUUCCAGAUUCC
ensembl:lncRNA